rnacentral:rRNA from 1 species
GACGAACGCUGGCGGCGUGCCUAACACAUGCAAGUCGAACGGAAAGGCCCUGCUUUUGUGGGGUGCUCGAGUGGCGAACGGGUGAGUAACACGUGAGUAACCUGCCCUUGACUUUGGGAUAACUUCAGGAAACUGGGGCUAAUACCGGAUAGGAGCUCCUGCUGCAUGGUGGGGGUUGGAAAGUGUCGGCGGUUGGGGAUGGACUCGCGGCUUAUCAGCUUGUUGGUGGGGUAGUGGCUUACCAAGGCUUUGACGGGUAGCCGGCCUGAGAGGGUGACCGGCCACAUUGGGACUGAGAUACGGCCCAGACUCCUACGGGCGGCCGCAGUGGGGACUCUUGCCCCAUGGGCGGCAGCCUGAUGCAGCAACGCCGCGUGCGGGAUGACGGCCUUCGGGUUGUAAACCGCUUUCGCCUGUGCCGACGCGUGAGUGCCGGUGCUGGGUCAAGAAGCCCCGGCUCCCUACGUG